rnacentral:rRNA from 1 species
AGAUAGAGGAGUGCUCGAAAGAGAACCGUAACACAGGUGCUGCAUGGCUGUCGUCAGCUCGUGUCGUGAGAUGUUGGGUUAAGUCCCGCAACGAGCGCAACCCUUGUGUUUAGUUGCAAACAGGUCAAGCUGUGCACUCUAGACAGACUGCCGUGGACAACACGGAGGAAGGUGGGGAUGACGUCAAAUCAUCAUGCCCCUUAUGAUCUGGGCUACACACGUGCUACAAUGGCCGGUACAACGGGCAGCGAAGGAGCGAUCCGGAGCGAAUCCUAAAAAGCCGGUCCCAGUUCGGAUUGCAGGCUGAAACUCGCCUACAUGAAGUUGGAGUUGCUAGUAAUCGCGAAUCAGAAUGUCGCGGUGAAUGCGUUCCCGGGUCUU